CGAACGCUGGCGGCAUGCCUAACACAUGCAAGUCGAACGGGCCGUAGCAAUACGGUCAGUGGCGAACGGGUGAAUAACGCGUGGGAAUCUGCCCUUGGGUUCGGAAUAACUCAGAGAAAUUUGAGCUAAUACCGGAUGAUGACGAAAGUCCAAAGAUUUAUCGCCCAAGGAUGAGCCCGCGUAAGAUUAGCUUGUUGGUGGGGUAAUGGCCCACCAAGGCGACGAUCUUUAGCUGGUCUGAGAGGAUGAUCAGCCACACUGGGACUGAAACACGGGCCAGACACCUACGGGUGGCAGCAGUAGGGAAUAUUGCACAAUGGGCGCAAGCCUGAUGCAGCAACGCCGCGUGCGCGAUGAAGGCCUUCGGUCGUAAAGCGCUUUCUGGGAGACGAGGAAGGACGGUAUCCCAGGAAGAAGUCUCGGCUAACUACGCGCCAGCAG
rnacentral:rRNA from 1 species